rnacentral:rRNA from 1 species
CCUACGGGCGGCUGCAGUGGGGAAUAUUGGACAAUGGAGGGAACCCUGAUCCAGCCAUGCCGCGUGUGUGAAGAAGGCCCUCGGGUUGUAAAGCACUUUCAGUGAGGAAGAACGCCUGGUGGUUAAUACCCAUCAGGAAAGACAUCACUCACAGAAGAAGCACCGGCUAACUCCGUGCCAGCAGCCGCGGUAAUACGGAGGGUGCGAGCGUUAAUCGGAAUUACUGGGCGUAAAGCGCGCGUAGGUGGCUUGAUAAGCCGGUUGUGAAAGCCCCGGGCUCAACCUGGGAACGGCAUCCGGAACUGUCAAGCUAGAGUGCAGGAGAGGAAGGUAGAAUUCCCGGUGUAGCGGUGAAAUGCGUAGAGAUCGGGAGGAAUACCAGUGGCGAAGGCGGCCUUCUGGACUGACACUGACACUGAGGUGCGAAAGCGUGGGUAGCAAACAGGAUUAGAUACCCGUGUAGUC